ACCCCAGAUACAGACCCACCACUACCACAGGAUGAGGGUUCUACUGUGGUCCCUGGAGUCAGGAGGAGACGCAGCAUGGAUGAGCCUCCAUACAUGGGGGGAGAGAGCAGCAGUCCAGACCCUCCAGUGUCUCCCAGUGUGUCUGAGCUGAGACUGGUGCUGCUGGGGAGGACUGGGGCUGGGAGGAGGGCAGCAGGAAACACCAUCCUGGGCAGAGAGGAGUUUGGGGCCCAGGACAGCCCCUCUGCAGUCACCCAGAGGAGCAGGAGGAGAGAGGGGGACGUGUGUGGGAGACGGCUGGUGCUGGUGGACACUCCAGACUGGUUCUGCCCUGGACUCUCUCUGGAGGACAUGAGACAGGAUGUGGGGCUGUGUGUCCGUCUGUCCGCCCCGGGACCCCACGCCUUCCUCCUGGUCGUACCAGUGGAGCCCUCUGAGGGGGAGGAGAGAGGAGCCAUGGAGAGAAUGGAGGACAUGUUUGGAGAGGGUUGUUGGGGACACACUGUCAUUCUGUUCACCCAUGAUGACAGUCUGAGAGAGCAGAGCAUGGAGGAGUUUCUCCAAACAGCAAGUCAGGACCUCCAGCAGCUUGUAGAGAAAUGUGGGAACAGGUACCACGUCCUCAACAUUAAGGACAGGGCCCAUGGCACUCAGGUCCCAGAGCUGCUGCACCAGGUAGAGGAGAUGGUGGCAGGAAACAGAGAGAGCUUCUACAGCAGUCAGAACUACCAGGAGGCAGAUGCCCAGGUCAGAGAGAUGGAGGGAAAGAUUCAGAGGGAGAGAGAGGAGAAGAUACAGAGGGAGGAGACAGAGAGGAAAGAGAAGUUUGAGACAGAGCUGCAGAACUCUCUGAAGAAGAUAGAGGGAGUGAUCCAGGAGCACGAGGGAGACAUCAGAACACUCAGCCAUCGAACAUCUGAACUGGAGAGACAGGUGAAGGAAGAGAGGGAUGAGGAGAAGAAGAGAGAGCUGGAGAGGGAGCUGAAGAGAGAGACUGACCGGAGAGAGGAGAUGGAGAGAAAGCUGGAGAGAUUUAGAGAGAAGAGAGAGAAUGAGAGGAGGGAGAGGGAGGAGAGACACAAGCAGGAGAUGGAGGAGUUCAGGGAGAACUAUGAAGGAGAGGCCAGAGUUGAAGCAGAGAGAAACCUGAUGAAGGUGGUCCUACCUGAGCUACAGAGGAGCAUUAUGAUCUCAUGCACAAAGAUGCAGAAAGAGUUCAACAGACAGAUGCAGGAGAUGAAUAGAGAGAUGCAGGAGAAGAAUAGAGAGAUAAAUAGACUUCAGCAUAAAAUAAUAGAUCUCAGUACUAAGUUUUUAGAUGAAGUCCAUGAAGUCAGUGCAUAGAACAAGUCUUACCUAGGACCAGAGGAGGGGGUGGAGGAAGUGGAAGAGGAGGAAGAAGCUACUGAUACAACUCCUUUCUAUAGAGGGGGGAUUGAACAGCUGACAUAGCCAGAGAGCUGAACUUGAUUCAUACUGUGAUGAUGUCUGUAAAUAUCCUUUUACUCUGUGUAUCUGCUGUUAAACUUCAGACAAAUUCAGGAGAAGGAUAGACAGAUACAGGAGAAGGCUAGAGAGAUGAAGGUGAAGGAUAUAGAGAUAGAGAAACUGAUGCAACGACUGAUGGAUCUCAGUGGUCAGUUUAUAGAGGAGGUCAAUGAAAUCAGUGAAUGGAAGAGCCCUCAAACAUAGAGGAGGAGAUGACAAGAGAGGAGAGGAGGGCAAGAGUGUAGAUGAGGGGAGAAGGAUUUGGAUAUAUAGAGACUUAAGAACAAACUGAGAGAUCUCAGUGAAGACUUCUUGACAAAGGUCCACGCUGUAAGAGAAGGUAGUAAAAGGAGCUCUCCUCACAUGUAGAGAAACAGAGGGAGGAAGUCAGAGACUUCAUUCAUACAAACAUUGUCAGCUAUAAUUGCUGAAUUUUACUGUGAUCAUUAUGACAUAUUUGUGUUAAGAUGUCAUGCAGCAGAUCACCACUAACUGAUUUGCCUCCCAUGGAGGUUCAUGGUUUUAAAAGUUUGUGUUUUUUUGUUUCCUCAUCAAA